ensembl:lncRNA
GGGGAGUGGCUCCAGGACUAAAACAGACGACAUCACCGCUGAGAAGGGAUUCCGUUUCCUUGGAUUUGAACAGGAAACAGAACCGAACGCGUGGUGAGUCCCGCUGGCGUUGGUUCUGAUGCAGAGUCCGGUUCUGCGUUGUGUAGAGUUAAUAAAUACGAUCUCAUGUGGGCCUGAUUUGGCCCGCGGGCCUGGAGUUUGAUGUGGUUUGGACCAGAUCUCCGCUCUUCUCUCAGCUCCUUCAGCUCAUCCGUGAACUCUGUCCUAUGGAAAACCAAAAAUGAGAUCCGGAAUCUCACGGAGGUAAGGGAGCCCCAAGGACUUUCCAGCUAAAGUAAUGGAUGAGUUUAAUAAUCACCCGCGUGUGUGUCUGUGUCCCGGACUCCGUUGUCCUUUAGGACACCUGCUGCAGCCUCGACUCCACACAGCAAAGGCUUCUGGGAUACCAGGACCAGGCCAGCGUGUUCCUAAGAGCCAGCAAAACCGGUUUGUGAUCCUUUCACAGGAUCAGCUCAGAACCGGGUUCAGGUUCUAACUGGAACCUCCCUGUCCUCCUGUCCGUCUGCCCUAGAGCUGCUGAAGCAGAUGGCAGAAUUCCAGGAGCUGCUGAGUCCACUACCUGCUUUCUUAAUCAGUAACCACGAGCAACGGCACCGGUCGCAGCUCGCAGAGGAUGUGGGCGUGGCCAGGAGGAGGCUGGAGGAGCUGCUGGCAGCCAGUGAGGAGGAGAAGAGGUCGAACUUCCACAAGCUGAGAGUUUCUCUCACAGCCGACGAGCUGCAGGCGCUGAACGCCAGAGAGGAGCUGAGGCAGCAGCAGCUGCACAGCGCCACCUGGAGCAUGCACCAGGAACUGCAGGUAGGAGGGGGUGGAGCCACAGUCAAACCUUUUAUCACACCUGCUUUCUCACACGGAGUGUGUGUGUGUGUGUGUGUGCGUGCGUGUGUGCGUGUGUGUGUGUGUGUGUGUGUGUUAAAUGCAGAAGUGUGUGCGUUCCAGAACAGAGGAGUUUGUGACAUCACUGGCUUCUCUGUCAGAGAAUCUGCUGCUGCUGCUGGACGACCUGCUCACACCUGCAGGUAACCCAGACUCACCUGUAGCUGACAUCAAAAACUAAAGGGGAUGGUUGUUAUUUGAACUCCGUCUGAGUCGAGACCACCGUCAGGUCAACAGGAGGGACUGGGCGCUCCAGAAGGAUCCUCUAUCUGUCCGAGUUUAAUCUCACCUGAAGACUCGAAGGUCUCUCCGUAGUCGGCACCCGAGGCACGAGUCGACUCGGGAAGCCAUGAGGAACAUGUGUUAGGAAAGGUUUUACAUGUGCCAUUUUGUUUCUGCAGUGACUCAUCAGCACACUGAACACAAAGCUGUUACCAUGGAGACGGGAGCUGAAACAGGAAGAGGACGCAGGUAACCAGACGUAAGAGCAGAAGAAUCAGAAAGAAACACAAACAGGAAGUGGUUUCAGCUCGCGCGUGUGUGUGUGUGUGUGUGUGUGUGUGUGUGUGUUUGUGUUUUAGGACCUGGCCUGGUAUCUCCUUCCUGUUUACCCCCACCAAGGACUCUGAUCCAUCCACUCCUGUUACCAUGACAACAGAAGAUAUCAUCACAACCACUUACAGCCAGAAACAUGAGGAAGUUAUUGUCAAUAGAGAUGCUGCUGUGAAGGUACACACACACACACACACACACACACACGCACGCACGCACGCACGCACGCACGCACACACGCACACGCACACACGCACACGCACAAAUAGAUGUUUGUGUAAAUGUUAAUCUGCAAUUUCUCACUGUGUGUGUGUGUGUGUGUAUGUGUGUUUGUGUGUGUGUGUGUGUGUGUCAGCGGUUUGAGAAGCUGUUCAGCUCUGAGACGUCAUGUUCAGAUUCCGAAAAUCAAAGACACCUGAGUGAACAACAACGCUGGAACACACACUGGCAACAACAGAUACACUCUCUGACACAGAUACACACAAUGUAACACACACACACACACACACACACACACACACACACACACACACACACACACACACACACACACACACACACACACACCACAGGAGUGUCUGCAGGUGGAUGAAGACGCUCUGACUUUCUAAAUGUUCCUGGAAGUUGUUUGUUUAUUUGUUGUGAUCCAUGUUUGCUGAAAUAAAGUGUUUACAUGACCGCUGUGACCCGGUUUCACCUCAGGCUCCGGUUCUUCGGCUCAAAUUUCCAGUUUGUUUGGAACUAAAGAAAACUGAAACAUCUCCUAACGUUUCGCAUCUGGACUAAAAACCCAAACGUUACCAAAUGGAUUUAUUUCAGUUUCCCUCAGGAAAUACAAACAUUUAAUCAUCUGAAACAUGAAAGCAGGAGGAGCAGCUUUGGAAUCGGAACGUUGAUCCAGACGUGCUCCCGGCACCUCCUCAGUCAGACUCGGUGAUUUCACUGCCGCUGCUGUCGUCCAGGUUACCGACCGUGUACUCUGAGUUGAUCAGCUUUGUCCUAAGGGCUCGCU